UACGUAGGGGGCGAGCGUUGUCCGGAGUUACUGGGCGUAAAGGGCACGCAGGCGGUGCGGCGCGUUUCGCGUGACAGCGGAGGGCUUAACUCUCCGAGGAUGCGAAAGACGGCGGCACUUGAGGGCCAGAGAGGGACACGGAAUUCCGGGUGGAGUGGUGAAAUGCGUAGAGAUCCGGAGGAACACCGAAGGCGAAGGCAGUGUCCUGGCCUGGUGACUGACGCUGAGGUGCGAAAGCUAGGGGAGCGAACGGG
rnacentral:rRNA from 1 species